rnacentral:tRNA from 1 species
GCGUUUGCCGAAAGCUCGGGUAUUAGGAUCUGAGCUUCCCAAGCUCAUUGCCCGGGUUCAAAUCCCGGCGGCCGCA